GACGAACGCUGGCGGCGUGCUUAACACAUGCAAGUCGAACGGGAAGGCCCUGCCUUUGUGGGGUGCUCGAGUGGCGAAAGGGGGAGUAACACGUGAGUUACCUGCCCCUGCCUUUGGGGUAAACUCAGGAAAAUGGGGCUAAUACCGGGUAAGAGCUCCUGCCGCAUGGUGGGGGUUGGAAAGUUUCGGCGGUUGGGGAUGGACUCGCGGCUUAUCAGCUUGUUGGUGGGGUAGUGGCUUACCAAGGCUUUGACGGGUAGCCGGCCUGAGAGGGUGACCGGCCACAUUGGGACUGAGAUACGGCCCAGACUCCUACGGGAGGCAGCAGUGGGGAAUAUUGCACAAUGGGCGGAAGCCUGAUGCAGCAACGCCGCGUGCGGGAUGACGGCCUUCGGGUUGUAAACCGCUUUCGCCUGUGACGAAGCGUGAGUGACGGUAAUGGGUAAAGAAGCACCGGCUAACUACGUG
rnacentral:rRNA from 1 species